rnacentral:misc_RNA from 1 species
GUUGAAGAACGCAGUGAAAUGCGAUAAGUAGUGUGAAUUGCAGAAUUCAGUGAAUCAUCGAAUCUUUGAACGCACAUUGCGCCCUUUGGUAUUCCUUAGGGCAUGCCUGUUCGAGCGUCAUUUAAACCUUCAUGCUCAGCUUGGUGUUGGGUGACUGUCCGCUUCACCGCGGACUCGCCUCAAAAUUAUUGGCGGCCGGUACAUUGGCAUCGAGCGCAGCAGAAACGCGAACUCGGGCCCGUCGUAUUGGCUCCCAGAAGCUAUCUUCACAAUUUUGACCUCGGAUCAGGUAGGGAUACCCGCUGAACUUAAGCAUAUCAAUAAGCGGAGGA